AGUAGGGCCUGCCCCCUGAUAAUUUAAAGGGCCGCAGUAUCUUAACUGUGCAAAGGUAGCAUAAUCAUUAGUUUUUUAAUUGAAAGCUGGUAUGAAUGGUUUGAUGAAAAAAUUUCUGUUUCAAUAUUAAUUUUUUAGAAUUUUAUUUUUAAGUUAAAAAGCUUAAAUUUGUAUAAAAGACGAGAAGACCCUAUAGAGUUUAAUUUAAAAUUAUUUUUUUUUUUAUAGAAUUUAAUUUAGAAGAUUUAAUUUUAAAUUUAGUUGGGGUGAUUAAAAAAUUAAAUUAACUUUUUUUAUAUUUAAACAUUGAUUUAUGAAUUUUUGAUCCAUUUAAAUGAUUAAAAGAAU
rnacentral:rRNA from 1 species